rnacentral:sRNA from 1 species
UCAUCAUGUCAACAGGAUGCCUAUUAAAC